CGCUUAUGCGUUGUUGGGUAGGGGAGCGUUCUGUAAGCCUGUGAAGGUGUGCUGUGAGGCAUGCUGGAGGUAUCAGAAGUGCGAAUGCUGACAUAAGUAACGAUAAAGCGGGUGAAAAGCCCGCUCGCCGGAAGACCAAGGGUUCCUGUCCAACGUUAAUCGGGGCAGGGUGAGUCGACCCCUAAGGCGAGGCCGAAAGGCGUAGUCGAUGGGAAACAGGUUAAUAUUCCUGUACUUGGUGUUACUGCGAAGGGGGGACGGAGAAGGCUAUGUUGGCCGGGCGACGGUUGUCCCGGUUUAAGCGUGUAGGCUGGUUUUCCAGGCAAAUCCGGAAAAUCAAGGCUGAGGCGUGAUGACGAGGCACUACGGUGCUGAAGCAACAAAUGCCCUGCUUCCAGGAAAAGCCUCUAAGCAUCAGGUAACAUCAAAUCGUACCCCAAACCGACACAGGUGGUCAGGUAGAGAAUACCAAGGCGCUUGAGAGAACUCGGGUGAAGGAACUAGGCAAAAUGGUGCCGUAACUUCGGGAGAAGG
rnacentral:rRNA from 1 species